rnacentral:rRNA from 1 species
AACGAACGCUGGCGGCAUGCCUAACACAUGCAAGUCGAACGAAACCUUCGGGUCUAGUGGCGCACGGGUGCGUCACGCGUGGGAACCUUCCCUUAUAUGCGGCAUAACUCCCCGAAAGGGGUGCCAAUACCGGAUAGUGUCUUCGGCCCAAAGAUUUAUCGCCCUUGGAUGUUCCGUCGUUGAAUUAGCUAGUUGUUAGGGUAAAAGCCUACCAUGGCGAGGAUCCAUAGAUGGGAUGAGAGGAUGAUCAGCCACACUGGGAGUGGGACACGGCCCAGACUCUUACGGGAGGCAGCAGUGGGUAAUAGUGGACAAUGGGCGAAAGCAUGAUCCAGCAAUGACGCGUGAGUGAUGAAGUCCUUAGGGUUGUAAAGCUCUUUUACCCGGGAUGAUAAUGACAGUACCGGGAGAAUAAGCUCCGGCUAACUCCGUG